CAGGAAUACUCCACACGUCUUAAUUCGAUUAGUGCUUAAUUCGAGUAUGACCUUAAUUAGAUUAAGGUAAGUAAAAAUAGCUGUUUACAUGCUAGUUUCUUAAUUACAGUAUCGUCUUAAUCGGGUUUAUAGUGGAUUAUGGUUGUCCAUGUAAACGCAGCUAGUGACAUUAUCCUCCUCCUCCUCCUCAGUUGGACAUUUGAGCUGUCAAUCCAAAUCUCACUAGCCAAUGAGGGAAUAUUGUUGUUAAGCCCUGCCCACAGACAACAUGGAGCAAGGCUGGCCGAACGGUCUGUGACGCCCUAGAAGAGAUUAGACCAUGGGCCCUUAACAGAGGAUGCUGCGUUACAAGACACAAUACUAAAAACUUGACAAAUGAAAUGAAUGAAAGAUAUCAUGUUAGAAAUAUCAAAUGACAUUGAAAGGACUUACGUAAUAUACCACUGCACUGGUCUCAGUUAUUCACAGUUGGCACAUGACUUCCUCACUGUAUGCGUGUCCGGUAGGUAGAGAUGCUUUGGGCCACAGUAAUCAGGGUAUUGGUUAGGGGAGAUG
ensembl:lncRNA